GAAUAGAGAUAGAGAAAAUCAGGAACAAGUGCAAUUUAACCAAACAAGAGAAGCUAAAUAUAAUAGUAGGUAUAGUUAUUUAUUUACGGGACAGAGGCCAGAGUAGCUAAGGAAAGAUGAGAGACUAGACAGCCAAAGUUUGAUUAUGAAGAUAUUGUGUAGACUGUUUAAAUAAGCCGCGUAUUGUAUGAAUGUGAAGUUGAGCGAAUGAGACGAGUCCAGACGAGAAAAAGGGAGAAAGUGUAUACAGGGUGUUCCAAAAAUGUUGUAACACCUUGAAAGGGGUGGUUCGAGAGGUGAUUUGAAACAACUUUUUCCUUAGCGAAAAUCUUGUCCGAGGCUUCGUUGAGGAGAUAUUAACGGAAAACACUGAUCAAUCAGAGCGCGCUAUAACACAAUAUCAAGGUACAUCCCAAAUAACAAAAGUUUUAACAAUUCGAAUAUAGAUCUUAUAAUAACACCUCCCGAUUUAACGGGAACGGUUAAUUUUGCGGAAUCAGGAGAAUGCUUAGGGUCAGACCACCAAAUAAUAAAUCUCAGGUUAUAUACAAACGAAAAUGUAGGUUUGGAAUCAGACAGGUCCAAGAAACAUUUGAGUAACAGCAAACUAUUUAAAAACAAAGAAAGAGUGAACUGGAUGGAGUUCAGACAAAAACUGGAAAAGAAAAAACCGUAAUAAAUCAAGAAUGAGAAGGUAAAAGAACCAGAAACCAGAACCAGAAGAAAUAAACAAUACAAGAAGGAAGAAAAAUACAAAUAAAGAGGACUCAAGUCAGGACCAUAGAAAGAGGAGAAAUAUCUGGUUGGAUCAAGAAUGCGAAGAAGCAUGGAAGAAAUGGAAAGAAAGCUCAAAGACGUUAUGGAGAACGGGUAAACCCGAGGACUAUACAAUAAUGGAACAUAACAGAAUGAAAUGGUUACAGUUAAAAAAAGAAAAGAAGGAGGCUACGUGUACUGCAUUCACAGAAGAGCUGUCUAGUGAAAAAAACAGUGGAAAACUGUGGAACAAGGUAAGAAGAAUAAAGAAUAUCUACACGAAGGCCAAAUCGACGUUAAACGCCAGAAAAAGGUUGAAAUUGGAAGAAAUAGAAGUAGCAAAACUCGUGGAAAGAAACAGUAACUUGAAAAGCACUCAUAAAGAAACAAACGAACGUGAACAAAACGUCAGCCCCGAGCGACGACAAAAUAGAUUAUAUAAUAAUAAAUGAAUUGCCUUCAUUCAUGAAAAAAUUGUUAUGCUGCAUUAUAAAGGAAAGCUGGGAACAAAUAACACUACCCAAAGAGUGGAAAAUCGGUAGGAAGUGUCUACUGGAAAAACCUGGAAAAGCAGCCCUGAGACCAAUCACUUUAACUUCAUGCACAGGCAAAAUUAUAGAGAAAAUAAUAAAUACAAGACUAAAUCUUUGGGCAGAAGAAAACAAUAUCAUCGAUGAAACACAAUCCGGAUUCAGACACAAAAGAGGAACAGUUGAUAAUCUAAAUAGAAUAGUAAUGGAAAUAAAAGAUAACAGCAGAAAAAAUAAUAUCACAGCAACGGCUUACAUAGACAUAAAAGGGGCGUAUGACAAUGUCAACUUUGACAAGCUCAUACAAAUACUAAUGGAGAAGAAAUGCCCACCGAGGAUAUUAGGAUGGGUGAGCAACUAGCUAAAAGACAGGUUUAUCCAAAGAAUUAACAGUCCAGAAUACACAAACAUUAAUUUACGCGGAUGAUAUAGGAAUUAUAACAAAGGACAAAAACAUAAAGAAAACUAAGAGUAAAAUAAAGGAAAGGAAAGCAACAACUAAAUACCUUUCUAAAAAGCAGAGACCUAGAAAUAUCAGUAGACAAAACCAAAAUCACCUUCUUUGGACAACAACCUCAAGAGAAAUCAAUAAAAUUUCAGACCACACAUUAAGGAAAUGGUAGAAAAGUUCAAAAGAAGAGCCAAUAUAAUAAGUUUCUCUGCCAUGGUAAUAAGGGGGUUAAUCAGAGCCAUGCGUUGAUGUUUACGAGAGCACUGAUAUCAUCGGUUGUGGAGUACGCCUCGCCGGUGUACCUAACUUUUGAUGGAGAAAAAAUAUACAAGACACUUUAAGAAAAGCGGAAACUGCAGCCUUAAGGUCAGCGAUAGGCUACAGAAUAUCUACUCCACUUAAUGUAAUCUACAUGGAGUGUGGUUGGACUACACUACUAGACAGAGCCAUUUUUCCGGCCAGCAAAUACUGGAUACGUCAAUUCGAAAAAGGUAAAGAGAACAACCCCACGCUACAAUUAUUUAUGAAAAUCAAAGAACAAAAUGAUCAAAUCAACAAAACACACACGACUAACAAAAUCCACACCAGGCCAAACAUAUCGGAAUGUCCAUUCUACGAUAUAUGGAAAUGGAAGGAUCAAAUAUUCACCAGGGAAUUUAUUUCCGAGGGUCUAAUAAAAUGGAACAAUCUGAGAAACGGAACCACAAUUACAGGGGAAUCAAGUAAUAAGAAGUGGAAACUGGACAAUAAAACAGGUAAAUUAAUAAAUGACAAAGCAGUCCCAAUUAAUAUGAUAGAAA